AACAAAAUCAACCAGUAUUACCCAGAGUUAAGCUUUCCCCAAUAUCUUCAGGCUUCUCACCAACCUCAGAUAGUUAUGAACCCAGGGAAUCAAAUUAAGACAAUAAUCUAUCCUAACAGUC
rnacentral:sRNA from 1 species